rnacentral:rRNA from 1 species
GAUGAACGCUGGCGGCGUGCCUAAUACAUGCAAGUCGAGCGGCAGCACGGUCUUCGGACUGGUGGCGAGCGGCGGACGGCUGAGUAACGCGUAGGAAUAUACCCAAAGUGAGGGAUAACUGCCCGAAAGGGUGGCUAAUACCGCAUGUGGUCUUCGGACUAAAGCCUUCGGGCGCUUUGGGAAUAGCCUGCGUAAGAUUAGCUAGUUGGUGAGGUAAUGGCUCACCAAGGCGACGAUCUUUAGCUGGUCUGAGAGGAUGACCAGCCAGACUGGAACUGAGACACGGUCCAGACUCCUACGGGAGGCAGCAGUAGGGAAUUUUCCACAAUGGGCGAAAGCCUGAUGGAGCAACGCCGCGUGCAGGAUGAAGGCCCUCGGGUCGUAAACUGCUUUAUGUGCGAAGAAUAUGACGGUAACACAUGAAUAAGGGUCGGCUAACUACGUGCCAGCAGCCGCGGUAAU